rnacentral:rRNA from 1 species
AUGGGAGAGGGAGACCACGAGGCGCACGGGGACGACAUGGAGAGGAAGGCGGACAAGAAGCUCUCCGGCUGGGGGCUCUUCGGCUCCCAGUACGACGCCGCCGCCGAUCUCUACUACGGGGCCGCAACCUUCUUCAAGCUCGCAAAGAGCUGGAGCAGAGCCGCAUCCGUGUACACCAAGAUCGCCAACUGCCAUCUGAAGCUCGAUAGCAAGGACGAAGCCGCCUCGGCCUAUGCGGACGCCGCAAACUGCUACAAGAAGUUCUCGCCCCAUGAAGCCGCGCGAGCGCUGGACCAGGCCGUCGUUCUCUUCCUGGAAGUCCGCAGGCUGGCCAUGGCCGCAAGAUACUGCAGGGACGCUGGUGUGAUAUAUCAGCAAGAAAAGGAUCUGGCGAUGGCUUCAGAUUACCUAGAGAGGGCCGCCGAUCUGUUCGACGACGAGGGGCAGACGUGUCAGUCGAACGCCAUCAAGCAUGAAAUCGCGGAGAUCGCCGCGAAGCUGGGGCGGUACCCGAAGGCAGCCGAGAUUUUUGAAGAGAUUGCUCGUCAAUCAAUCAAGAGCAAGCUGCUGAAGUAUAGCGUGAGAGCCGUCCUCCUCAAUGCAGGCAUCUGCCAGCUAUGCAUAGCCGAUGGUGUCGCUAUGCAAAAGUCGUUUGCGCGGUACCAGGAAAUCGAUCCGACUUUCUGGGGAACUCGUGAACACAAACUUUUAGCUGAUCUUGCUGCAUCAAUGGACUACGGAGAUGUCGCCAGAUUUACCGAUGCCGUCAGGGAAUUCGACGUCGUGACACGUGUGGAUCCUUGGAGAACGAUACUGCUGCUGAGGGCAAAGGAUGAGCUGGAGAAACAGGAGAAUGACGACGAUGAGGAUGAUCUAACCUAA